UACGUAGGGUGCGAGCGUUAAUCGGAAUUACUGGGCGUAAAGCGUGCGCAGGCGGCUUUGCAAGACAGAUGUGAAAUCCCCGGGCUUAACCUGGGAACUGCAUUGUGACUGCAUGGCUGGAGUGCGGCAGAGGGGGAUGGAAUUCCGCGUGUAGCAGUGAAAUGCGCAGAUAUCAGGAGGAACACCAGUGGCGAAGGCGGUGCUCUGGGCCGGAACUGACGCUGAGGAGCGAAAGCGUGGGGAGCAAACAGG
rnacentral:rRNA from 1 species